ACGCUAGCGAUAGGCUUAACACAUGCAAGUCGAGGGGCAGCAUGGUCUUAGCUUGCUAAGACUGAUGGCGACCGGCGCACGGGUGCGUAACGCGUAUGCAACUUGCCUCACAGAGGGGGAUAACCCGUCGAAAGACGGACUAAUACCGCGUACACUUGGGAUAGGGCAUCCUGACCCAAGGAAAUGAAAUUCGCUGUGAGAUAGGCAUGCGUCCCAUUAGCUAGUUGGUGAGGUAACGGCUCACCAAGGCGACGAUGGGUAGGGGAACUGAGAGGUUGAACCCCCACACUGGUACUGAGACACGGACCAGACUCCUACGGGAGGCAGCAGUGAGGAAUAUUGGUCAAUGGGCGAGAGCCUGAACCAGCCAAGUCGCGUGAAGGAUGACUGUCUUAUGGAUUGUAAACUUCUUUUAUACGGGAAUAACAAGAGCCACGUGUGGCUCCCUGCAUGUACCGUAUGAAUAAGCAUCGGCUAACUCCGUGCCAGCAGCCGCGGUAAUACGGAGGAUGCGAGCGUUAUCCGGAUUUAUUGGGUUUAAAGGGUGCGUAGGCGGCCUGUUAAGUCAGCGGUGAAAUCUAGGAGCUUAACUCCUAAAUUGCCAUUGAUACUGGCGGGCUUGAGUGUAGAUGAGGUAGGCGGAAUGCGUGGUGUAGCGGUGGAAUGCAUAGAUAUCACGCAGAACUCCGAUUGCGAAGGCAGCUUACUAAGGUACAACUGACGCUGAAGCAUGAAAGCGUGGGUAUCAAACAGGAUUAGAUACCCUGGUAGUCCACGCAGUAAACGAUGAUAACUGGGCGUAUGCGAUAUACAGUAUGCUCCUAAGCGAAAGCGUUAAGUUAUCCACCUGGGGAGUACGCCGGCAACGGUGAAACUCAAAGGAAUUGACGGGGGCCCGCACAAGCGGAGG
rnacentral:rRNA from 1 species